UUGCCUAUUGUUGGGAACUUGUUCGUAUCUUUUUCUUGGAAUAAAUGAAAAUAGGGUCUAGGUGUGAUUUUGGCUAACUGAUGAAAUUGCGUACUUCUUUAGUCUUUCAUUUUCCAAAAUCUCCUUUUGUGCAUAUCUUUUCGAAUCAUUGCAGGCACUAUUCGCCGCCUAUUUACGGCAAGUGAUUAUGACAAAUAUUCUAUAUCAGUGCAUAUCUCUUUUUUCUAGGCAUUUUAUCGUCAGGCAAUUAC
rnacentral:lncRNA from 1 species